rnacentral:rRNA from 1 species
UACGAAGAGGGCUAGCGUUGCUCGGAAUCACUGGGCGUAAAGCGCACGUAGGCGGCUUUUUAAGUCAGGGGUGAAAUCCUGGAGCUCAACUCCAGAACUGCCUUUGAUACUGGCGAUCUUGAGUUCGGGAGAGGUGAGUGGAACUGCGAGUGUAGAGGUGAAAUUCGUAGAUAUUCGCAAGAACACCAGUGGCGAAGGCGGCUCACUGGCCCGAUACUGACGCUGAGGUGCGAAAGCGUGGGGAGCAAACAGG